CGUGUAGGCGGACUAGUAAGUCGGACGUGAAAUCCCUGGGCUCAACCCAGGAACUGCAUCCGAAACUAUUAGUCUGGAGUGGUGGAGAGGGAAGCAGAAUUCCUGGUGUAGAGGUGAAAUUCGUAGAUAUCAGGAGGAACACCGGUGGCGAAGGCGGCUUCCUGGACACUAACUGACGCUGAGACGCGAAAGCGUGGGAGCAAACA
rnacentral:rRNA from 1 species